ACUCCUGCGGGAGGCAGCAGUGGGGAAUUUUGGACAAUGGGCGAAAGCCUGAUCCAGCAAUGCCGCGUGUGUGAAGAAGGCCUUCGGGUUGUAAAGCACUUUUGUCCGGAAAGAAAUCCUUGGCUCUAAUACAGUCGGGGGAUGACGGUACCGGAAGAAUAAGCACCGGCUAACUACGUGCCAGCAGCCGCGGUAAUACGUAGGGUGCGAGCGUUAAUCGGAAUUACUGGGCGUAAAGCGUGCGCAGGCGGUUUGCUAAGACCGAUGUGAAAUCCCCGGGCUCAACCUGGGAACUGCAUUGGUGACUGGCAGGCUAGAGUAUGGCAGAGGGGGGUAGAAUUCCACGUGUAGCAGUGAAAUGCGUAGAGAUGUGGAGGAAUACCGAUGGCGAAGGCAGCCCCCUGGGCCAAUACUGACGCUCAUGCACGAAAGCGUGGGGAGCAAACAGGAUUAGAUACCCCUGUAGUCCC
rnacentral:rRNA from 1 species